UACGUAGGGUGCAAGCGUUAAUCGGAAUUACUGGGCGUAAAGCGUGCGCAGGCGGUUGGGCAAGACAGAUGUGAAAUCCCCGGGCUUAACCUGGGAACUGCAUUUGUGACUGCACAGCUGGAGUGCGGCAGAGGGGGAUGGAAUUCCGCGUGUAGCAGUGAAAUGCGUAGAUAUGCGGAGGAACACCGAUGGCGAAGGCAAUCCCCUGGGCCUGCACUGACGCUCAUGCACGAAAGCGUGGGGAGCAAACAGG
rnacentral:rRNA from 1 species